rnacentral:rRNA from 1 species
UACGAGGGGGGCAAGCGUUGUUCGGAAUUAUUGGGCGUAAAGGGCGCGUAGGCGGUGCGGUAAGUCUGAUGUGAAAUCCCGGGGCUCAACCUCGGAACUGCCUUUAAUACAGCAAGUCUUGAGUUCGAGAGAGGUGGGUGGAAUUCCUAGUGUAGAGGUGAAAUUCGUAGAUAUUAGGAAGAACACCGGUGGCGAAGGCGGCCCACUGGCGCGAUACUGACGCUGAGGUGCGAAAGCGUGGGGAGCAAACAGG